rnacentral:rRNA from 1 species
CCUACGGGGAGCAGCAGUGGGGAAUAUUGGGCAAUGGGCGCAAGCCUGACCCAGCAACGCCGCGUGAAGGAAGAAGGCUUUCGGGUUGUAAACUUCUUUUGUCAGGGAAGAGUAGAAGACGGUACCUGACGAAUAAGCCACGGCUAACUACGGGCCAGCAGCCGCGGUAAUACGGAGGUGGCAAGCGUUGUCCGGAUUUAUUGGGGGUAAAGGGCGUGUAGGCGGGAAAGCAAGUCAGAUGUGAAACCGCAGGGCUUAACCCUGAGACUGCAUUUGAAACUGUUUUUCUUGAGUGCGGGAGAGGCAAGCGGAAUUCCGGGUGUAGCGGUGAAAUGCGUAGAUAUACGGAGGAACACCAGUGGCGAAGGCGGCUUGCUGGACAGUAACUGACGCUGAGGCGCGAAAGCGUGGGGAGCAAACAGGAUUAGAUACCCUUGUAGUC